AACGAACGCUGGCGGCGCGCCUAAUACAUGCAAGUCGAGCGAGAAGACGUAGCAAUACGUUUGUAAAGCGGCGAACGGGUGAGGAAUACAUGGGUAACCUACCCUCGAGUGGGGAAUAACUAGCCGAAAGGUUAGCUAAUACCGCGUACGCUCCUUGGACUUCGGUUCAGGGAGGAAAGCGAUACCGUGGGUAUCGCGCUCAUGGAUGGGCUCAUGUCCUAUCAGCUUGUUGGGAGGUAACGGCUCACCAAGGCUUCGACGGGUAGCUGGUCUGAGAGGACGAUCAGCCACACUGGCACUGCGACACGGGCCAGACUCCUACGGGAGGCAGCAAGUAAGGAAUAUUGCGCAAUGGGCGAAAGCCUGACGCAGCGACGCCGCGGUGGGGGAUGAAAGUCUUCGGAUUAGUAAACCCCUUUUCGGGAGGGAAGAUGGAACGAGCAAUCGUUCGGACGGUACCUCCAGAAGCAGCCACGGCUAACUUCGUGCC
rnacentral:rRNA from 1 species